rnacentral:lncRNA from 1 species
UUUGCGGUACUGUUUUGGUUCUAUAUGCCAUAUUAAUAAGAUAUACCAGUACGCGUUGUCCUGCUGAUGCUAAAAUUUUAUCAUUUCAGGGAAUAUGUCGUCACAGCCUGCCGCUUUCGCUAAUUUCAGCUGCUGGAUUGUUGCUAUUACUUGGUCCUCUAUGAUUUCUUCGUUUACCCCGGGUACCUCUCUCUAGAUGUCAUCAAUUUGGGCCGUAGAUUAGGAAUUUAAUAAAUCAUUGAAAUGCUCUCUCUUUCUUUUUUCUUCUGUUCUUGUACUAUGAGAGUUCCAUCCUUUGAAAGAAGGUUGAUUACUGCCACUUUCCUGUUUUGGUUUCUGAGGUUUUUCAGGGUUCUGUAGAAUAGUUUUUGGUUUUCGCUGCUAUUGGUUUCCAUUGCUGUACCAAAGUUUGACCAUUCGUUUUGCUUUGCUCUUUAUACUAAAUUCUUUACUUUUCUUCUUUGUGAUUGAUAAUCUUGAUAGUGCUGUGUAGAUUUUGUUGAUAGAUAUGUUUUCCUUUUUUUGUUUCUUAACUUGUACUUCUCUUUUGAUCUCACUAAUCUACCAUGCAGUUUGCUUCCCAAUUCUGUUGUUAUCAAUAGAAGAGCAUAUAAAAGAUCAUUAGGUUUAUUGUAAAUGAACUAAUACAAUCAAGAACUAUUUCUUUGUUGAGUUACAAAGAGAAAUAAAAAUGCUACCCAGCAUUACAUUGCCCAUUAACUCCAAUAUACAAUGAUGAGCGCUAGAUAAGUUGCAGAGAAUCUUCCCAAGAUUGUCAAAGAGCUUCUGGAUUUUUCAAUACGAAUUUUUAUUUCGUAGCUAUGAUCUCAGGUAUCCUUAACAUUGCAGCUCAAAUAUAGUCCAUUGGCCAAUCUGAGACACAACUGUCUACACUAAAAACUCAAUAAAGAUGCACUAGAAAUAAACAGGCACGAGGAGCACUCCAAAAUCAUAAUUUGGGAGUGCUCCUCGAACAUUCAACGUGUCUUGAUUUGUUUAUUUCUAUAUAGUGCAUUUUUAUUGUGAUUGUAGUGUAGACAGUUGUGUCUCAGAUUAGCGAAUCGAUUAUAGCAUAUUUUCUGUACUCUUGUAACGUUUCAAUCAGCCGAUUGAACGCUACACCAAGCUCCGCUUGGUAUUUGUCCCUCGUACUAUAUAUUUCUGCAAGCGACCCUACUAUCGUCAGAUUAAUUUCUUUAAUUCUUUUAAGGUACCUUUUUAAACCGAUACAAAUUUGUAUCGGCUCAUUUUUCAUUACCACGUAAAUGAGAGACAAUAUCUGAAAAAUUAUUGUGUUUGUGUGUAGGCCGUUAGAUAUACGGCCCAUUCCUUGGGAAUAAAGCUGCAGGCGAACACUACAUGGGGAAGCAACUGUAGCUGAAGAAAAAAUAUCUUGGAGAGCAGAACGCGACAGCGACAUCUCGCAACAGCCCACAGUAUCCUGAAUCCAACUACUGAUCUACUGAUGCAUCAGAAGAAUGGCUUCAAGAAGAUAGUCUUAGAAUUCCCACAAAUACCGACAGCAACAGAAAGUUCUGCAGAGAUUGGAGACUUCCCAUAAGAACUGUGUGACUCCGACAAUAGGACUUAAAGCUGAGUACCUUUCUUAUUUUUAUAACUUUUAUAUCCGUGACCAGCAGGGUCUCGGUCACAAUUUCAGAAAAUUAAUUUGGUUGCUUGUACAUAGAAUGAUUUUUGUUAAUUUUUUUUAUCUGAAUAAAUAGUGUAUAUAAAAUGA